rnacentral:rRNA from 1 species
GAUGAACGCUGGCGGCGUGCCUAACACAUGCAAGUCGAGCGAUUCUCUUCGGAGAAGAGCGGCGGACGGGUGAGUAACGCGUGGGUAACCUGCCCUGUACACACGGAUAACAUACCGAAAGGUAUGCUAAUACGAGAUAAUAUGCUUUUAUCGCAUGGUAGAAGUAUCAAAGCUUUUGCGGUACAGGAUGGACCCGCGUCUGAUUAGCUAGUUGGUAAGUAACGGCUUACCAAGGCGACGAUCAGUAGCCGACCUGAGAGGGUGAUCGGCCACAUUGGAACUGAGACACGGUCCAAACUCCUACGGGAGGCAGCAGUGGGGAAUAUUGCACAAUGGGCGAAAGCCUGAUGCAGCAACGCCGCGUGAGCGAUGAAGGCCUUAGGGUUGUAAAGCUCUUUCGUGGGGAAGAUAAAUGACUGUACCCCAAGAAGAAGCCCCGGCUAACUCCGUG